GCAUAUCAAUAAGCGGAGGAAAAGAAAAUAACAAUGAUUCCCCUAGUAACUGCGAGUGAAGAGGGACAAGCUCAAAUUUUAAAUCUGUUAGGUUCUACCUGACCGAGUUGUAAUUUGAAGAGGCGUUUUCUGUGGUUCUGAUCAGUCCAAGUCCUUUGGGAUAAGGCAUCGCGGAGGGUGAGAAUCCCGUUCGGUUGAUCAGGUCACUUUACGAUACGUCAUCAAAGAGUCAAGUUGUUUGGGAUUGCAGCUUAAAAUGGGAGGUAAAUUUCUCCUAAGGCUAAAUAACGGCGAGAGACCGAUAGCGAACAAGUACCGUGGGGGAAAGAUGAAAAGAACUUUGAAAAGAGAGUUAAACAGUACGUGAAAUUGUUGAAAGGGAAACGAUUAAAGCCAGUCGUACCGGCGGGUAAUCAGCCUUUUGGGUGUGAUUAUGUGGAGCGUGAGGAGUUUAAUCGCCUUCAUGCCUGCAUAUUCGUGCACUUUGGGUGUACUUGCUCGUGUUGGUAGGUUAACAUCAAUUUCGAUCAUCAUAAAAUGAUUGGGGGAAUGUAGCUUCGAUCUCGUAUUGAAGUGUUAUAGACUCUGGUAGAUGUGAUGAUUGGGAUUGAGGAUUGCAACGGAUACCCUUCGGGGCUACCCGUCUGAUCUCUGAGAGUUACUCUGGUGCUGAAAGCGUGCUUACGGUAUCAAAGUUGACGUUCAAUAGGUUAGAACGGGUUAAAUUCGUUAAGGAUGUUGACGUAAUGGCUUUAAACGAC
rnacentral:rRNA from 1 species